ensembl:snRNA U6 U6 spliceosomal RNA
UGCUUACCUUAGCAACAAUAUACUAAAACUAGAGUGAUACAGAAAAAAUUGACAUGGUCGCUGCACAAGGAUGCCUGCAAAUUUAUGAAGCAUUCUAUANNNNN